rnacentral:rRNA from 1 species
AACGCGAAGAACCUUACCUACCCUUGACAUGUCAGGAAGUCUGCUGAGAGGUGGAUGUGCCCGAAAGGGAACCUGAACACAGGUGCUGCAUGGCUGUCGUCAGCUCGUGUCGUGAGAUGUUGGGUUAAGUCCCGCAACGAGCGCAACCCUUGUCAUUAAUUGCCAUCAUUCAGUUGGGCACUUUAAUGAGACUGCCGGUGACAAACCGGAGGAAGGUGGGGAUGACGUCAAGUCCUCAUGGCCCUUAUGGGUAGGGCUUCACACGUCAUACAAUGGUCGGUACAGAGGGUCGCCAACCCGCGAGGGGGAGCCGAUCCCACAAAGCCGAUCGUAGUCCGGAUCGCAGUCUGCAACUCGACUGCGUGAAGUCGGAAUCGCUAGUAAUCGUGGAUCAGCAUGUCACGGUGAAUACGUUCCCGGGUCUUGUACACACGC